UACGGGGGGAGCAAGCGUUGUUCGGAUUUACUGGGCGUAAAGGGCGCGUAGACGGCGCAACAAGUCACUUGUGAAAUCUCCGGGCUUAACCCGGAGCGGUCAAGUGAUACUGUCGUGCUAGAGUGCGGAAGGGGCUACUGGAAUUCUCGGUGUAGCGGUGAAAUGCGUAGAUAUCGAGAGGAACACCUGCGGCGAAGGCGGGUAGCUGGGCCGACACUGACGCUGAUGCGCGAAAGCCAGGGGAGUGAACGGG
rnacentral:rRNA from 1 species